GACGAACGCUGGCGGCGUGCUUAACACAUGCAAGUCGAACGGAAAGGCCCUGCUUUUGUGGGGUUCUCGAUUGGCGAACGGGUGUGUAACACGUGAGUAACCUGCCCUUUACUUUGGUAUAACUUCUGGUAACUGUGUCUAAUACCGGAUAUGUGCUCCUGCUGCAUGGUGGGGUUUGGUAAGUUUCGGCGGUUGGGGUUGUACUCGCUGCUUAUCAGCUUUUUGGUGGGGUAGUGGCUUACCAAGGCUUUGACGGGUAGCCGGCAUGAGAGGGUGACCGGCGACAUGGGGACUGAGAGACGGCCCAGAAUGCAACGGGAGGCAGCAGUGGGGAAUAUUGCACAAUGGGCGGAAGCCUGAUGAAGAAACGCAGCGUGCGGGAUGAAGGCCUUCGGGUUGUAAACCGAUUUCGACUGUGACGAAGCGUGAGUGACGGUAAUGGGUAAAGAAGCACCGGCUAACUACGUG
rnacentral:rRNA from 1 species